UCAGCCUUCUCAUCCCCCAUCUCUGGACAGUGUCGUCUUUGGUCAACCUACGCCUUCCAAUCCCCUGUCUCUGGACAGUGUCGUCUUCGGUCAUCCUGUGCGUUCACCUUCUUCAUCACCUGGAAGAUCCGGUGCUGGUCCCAACCGG